UUAAUUUUAGGAUUACGAAACUAAACCCCAUUUAACAAUAAUAAUAAAAAUAAAAAAAAAAACCCUCUCGUUCUCCAAUCGUAUUCACCCUUUUCGUCUCCUCGUCUCACCGCCGUUUAUGGUUGCCGUCUGCCGUCUCAGUCUCUACUGAAGUCUCCUUUCAUGGUUGAACCCUUGCUUUUUCCUCUCAUUGUCUUUUUCGUUUAUUCUUUUUAUAUACCCAUCUGAGUUUUAUCGUUUACUUCUCUCUAUGCGAUCCUAAUUUUUUGAGUUUCAUGAGAAUUUUGUGUAACUGUUAUUGCAGGAACUAAGAAGAACCAGUGAAGGGCAACCGAUGGAGGCCCUUGAUGAUCCAAAAGUAAUGGAAACUGAACAUGGAGACUCUCGUGUUAGUUUCUUUGCAGCCCUGCUCUCCGUUCCUCUAGUUAUUGUUUUUAAUCACAAGUUAUCGGUUCGUAAUAUUGAUUGAAUUUCCUUCUUCUUGAGUUCUCCUUCGAAGAAUGUUAUGUUGUCUUACACGAUCACUGUGCAUUUAGGUUUACUACUUGUUAUAUACUGUCAUUGUCUUCUGAUUCUGUUAAACACUCAUUAGUGGUGAAAAAUUCGAGGAAUUUUCUGUAGUCUAUUGUUGCUAUUUUCUGUACUCUAUUUUUUCUGAUUCUGGGAUUAAUGAUUUUAAUUCAAGUACUUUAAAUUUUCCAUUUUCUUGUUAGUUUCAAUUUAGUUUUGAUUGAGUACUUGACUUGGAUUAAUAUAAUUGGCUGUAACCAUGGCCAAAUAUAGAACUAUUGUUGAUGUUGAGAUUAGUCUAAGGGAUAUUUUCUGAGGUUGAUUUCACAAGUUAAGCUGAAAAUCUAGCAGCUUAUAGAUUUCUACUUUUUCUCAAAAAUUGUAUUUUUGUGUGUGUUGAGAUCAGUCUAAAGGUAUACGGCCGAUGUUAAUUCAUAAAUUAAGCAGAAAAUCUGGUAGCUUGUACCUGUUGAGCUCCACUGUUUUCUUAACAGUUCUUUUGCAAAAUUUUAUGGGAGUUGCAGCUGUUAAUAGUCAUUUGGACUUUAAAUUGGCAGCUUUCUUAAAAGUAAGUAGUGUUUUAUUUGGAAAAAAAAAUGAGAAUUUAAAAGUUUAAAUUGGAAUGUUGAAGUGGCCAAAAGAAGUAGUGUUUUCUUAACAGUUCUAUUGCAAAACUUUAAGGAAGUUGCAACUGUUAAUAGUCAUUUGGACUUUAAAUUGGCAACUUUCUUAAAAAUAAGUAAUGUUUCAUUUGGGAAAAAAACAAUGAGAAUUUAAAAUUUUAAAUUGGAUUGUUGAAGUGGCAUAAGCAUUUAUGGUUUGGAGGAUAUUCAUUAUUGAUUAUUUGGCGGCUGUGCUUUCAUUCUCUAUUUUACGUAGGACUUGGCCAGUUGUUUAUGUUUUCGGUUUUCCUCUAUUUUUAUUUUUUGUCGGAUAAAUUGUCCAUCCUGUUGUACUUUUUCUCUCUAUUUUUCUAAUAAUACUUCUCUUAAAAAAAUAAUAUUUAUUAACGUUCUAAUCUUUUCUUUUUGUUGAUAGAAAAUAUAUAUUUCUAACCUUAUCCAUUAUUUUUUUCUAUUUUGAGCCAGAUGCUAGAUAAAGUAAAAAGGUUUCGGUUUUGUUCUUCAUUGAAAGUUUUUGAACUUGAGACUUGGAAUAAGCUCUUUUUCCUGGCUAUUUACACGCCACACAUGUGAAGCAGUGGUCGAAAUAGAUAACUACAACCUGUUCUUGCACAUGGCUAUUCUG
rnacentral:lncRNA from 1 species